rnacentral:rRNA from 1 species
AUGCGUGUGCUCACCAUAUCAGGCAUCUUUGCUGUUGAUGAGGCAGCCUCGCCAGGCAAGGAGAUUGUUUACGGGCUUACCUCAACCACACGCCUACUCGUCGUGUCUUUGAUUAAAUCAAACUUAUUUCCUAUUCUGUCUUUGAUGCUUGAUUCAACUGUCAUUGCCCCCUUUUUGGGCAUGCACUCAUGGUUCCUAGAUGAGCAUUCCAGGUCCCUGUUCAAAAAGGCUCACAGCCUUAACUUUUGGGAGAUGCCUGAGCAGGAUGAUGCUUACAACCAGAUACUCAAUAAUGCAAUGGUUUCGGAUAGUAACUUUCUCACGGACAUCAUCUUAAGGGAGUGUGGUGAUGUAUUUCUUGGCAUAAACUCUCUUAUUGAUGUUGGUGGAGGCCAAGGUGGAGCUGCCAGGGCAAUUGCGAUUGCGUUCCCGCAAAUGAAAUGCACCGUGUUGGAUCUCCCUCAUGUGAUUGCAGAAGCUCCUAGUGAUGUCCAUGUGUCGUUUAUUUCUGGCGAUAUGUUUAAGUACAUUCCGCCAGCAAAUGCUCUUUUCCUAAAGUGGGUUUUUCAUGAUUGGGGUGAUGAAGACUGUGUCAAAUUAUUGAAAAAUUGCAAGGAAGCAAUCCCUCCCAGAGAUGCUGGUGGAAAGGUGAUAAUUGUAGAUAUGGUGGUUGGAUCUGGGCUAAAUGAGAUUGUAACAAGAGAGACACAUGUUUUGUAUGAUCUAUUUAUCAUGUGCGUUGAGGGGAUUGAGCGAGAGGAAUUUGAAUGGAAAAGGAUAUUCAUGGAAGCUGGGUUCGGUGACUACAAGAUUAUAUCAGUGCUGGGAGUUAGAUCUGUUAUUGAGCUCUACCCUUGA